rnacentral:misc_RNA from 1 species
GUAGGUGAACCUGCGGAUGGAUCAUUAGUGAAUGUGCGGCGGGCGCGAGCCCGCCCCCACUCCACCCUUGUGCACCAUUUGUUUGUGGCAGGCUCCGGCCUGCCAGGGGCGCCCGCGCCCGCAACCCCUCCACUCUGUCUAAUCUUACGAACCAAAUGAUCUAAACAACUUUUGACAACGGAUCUCUUGGCUCUC